UACGGAGGGUGCGAGCGUUGUCCGGAAUCACUGGGCGUAAAGGGCGCGUAGGCGGCCUGGUAAGUAGGGGGUGAAAUCCUGCGGCUUAACCGCAGGGCUGCCUUCUAAACUGUCAGGCUCGAGCACAGUAGAGGCAGGUGGAAUUCCCGGUGUAGCGGUGGAAUGCGUAGAGAUCGGGAAGAAUACCGGUGGCGAAGGCGUUCUGCUGGGCCGUUGCUGACACUGAGGCGCGACAGCGUGGGGAGCAAACAGG
rnacentral:rRNA from 1 species